UUUGAUUCCUUCGAUGCAUCAUGGCUGUCUUUAUUGGUAGUAAUUCUGUACGAUGCUGCCACGUUUGGUAUACUCCUGUUAUCAUGUAUUUCAUCUGAACGACAAUAAACAACAUCCGAUAUAUUAUAUUCAGCUAUGUAAUUCUAUUUAUUUUUUACUUAAAUAACGUUUGGUAUAGUUUUGGAUGAUUUUGGAGCAUAGCAGAUUUUCUACCUGGGGGGUGUAAAGCAUUUGGUUUGAAUGCUCACAUUUGUUUUAAAUUUACCUCUUUCUAAUAAAUGCAAAGAAAUUAACAACUAGUUAUUCAUACAUAUCUGCCUAGGAUAAUUUAUAAUCAAAGUUCGAGACGAAUAAAUUGGCGGCAAAUCUCUUUUCCUUCGCUACCAGAUCUAUGUAUCAGUUAUGGUAAUCUACCGCGCAGCUCCGAGCGUUAUGUCCUUGUUGUUGGCAUUUUUUGCAACAUCUUGGCUUUUUUACUUUAAUUUCUCUAGUUGACUUGAACCUCGGGUCUGCCUUGCUCGGGCGACCCGUAUUUUUCCCGCUUCCUUUUGUCUUCGCUACCUUAGGAUUCCCUAUUAGAGGAAUGCAAGUAAUCUUAUCUUCAAAUAUGGUAAUAGAUCUUGAAACCGAUUGCCUAUUAGCGGUGGAGUGUAGCCCUUCAAAUUCUUGCAGGAUUCCAUUCAUUCUUGAAAUUAUUUCAUCUUCUAUCUUUGCAUUGUUUGCAAUCAAUCUUGCGCAUCUAUUGAAAAUCGAUGUAAGAGCGUUACCUACGGGUUUUUUAAUCCCUUCUUCUCUUGUUUGUGAUUUGUUUUCUGUCUUUUUCCAACGAUCGCAAAUCAGAUCAUUUGGUAAUGAAGUCCUUCCAGUUGAUGUUAGAAAACAAAUAAUAUGGCGGCACGGAAUUGCUUUGCUUGAGAAUAGAUGAUAGCUACAUGAUGGUGUAUCAUCCAAAUCCUUGCAUGUUAUUUUAGCUGACUGAAUUUGGGUGUAUAUCCCUACUACAAUGUGAAUAUUGGGUUCAUGUGAAAGUAGAUAUAGAAAUAUUAUAAAAAAACCAUAUUAUGAAAUGUAUUCGAAUUUAAUGACCAUUCCUUACAUUUGGAAGUCCUCGAAUAUAAUAGCAUACACUUUUCUGGACUUGUUGCUGGUAUAGUAAAAAAAACCUCUGUAGUGUAGAUGGAGAGCAAACAUUUUUCGAUUUGUAGUUGUGUAAUUAGUAAUGGUGGUGCGUCCCUGUCUCUGUGGUUCAGUUCUUCGAGUUUGUUGCGUUGUGCGUUUAACACUACUUUUAGGGAGCAAACAAAUUCGAAUAAUGUUGAUGAUCGUUUGACGUUUAACUUCACUAGGGAAUUCAUCCCCUCACUUCGUUGGGUACUCUGCAUCCCACCGAAGAAGUGAUUAGUCAUGUAAAUUGGACACCAGCUUUCUCGGAUGGUAUACAUAUCUUUCAACCACUUGUUUUCUGUUAGUUUAUUGUCGGUGGCCCAAGAAGCCCAAUUUUUCUCAAAUUCAUUGAUAUUCUCAGAUGUAUUCAGGAUCUUGUUGAACCGUUCCAUCUCGUCCUUAUUCCUGUAGACUAUGCCAACCUUAUCACACAUCUUGUGGGUGAUGUGCCACUUGCACAGUCGAUGAAAUGUUGUUGGGAAUUCACGUGAUAUAGCAGUUUUCAUUGCUGCGUCUUGGUCAGUUAUUAUUGUUUUAGGGUAAUUACCCAUGCAUUUCUUGAAUUCUGAGAACAACCAUAUGAAGGAUUCCGUAGACUCGUUCGAGAGAAAUCCAUUAGCGAAGAGUACCGUUCGCAGGUGAUUGUUUAGCCCACAGAAAAUUCCAAUAAUUAGCUUAUACUUGUUUGUGUUAUACGUCGUAUCGAACGUUAUAGCCUCUCCGUAUUGUUUAUAUUCUUCAAUACAUGUAGGGUCAGCCCAAAACAACUGCUUCAAAGAUCCUAUGAAUAGAAAGAGCAUAUUACUACUGUUUAAAUUAUAUACAAAGUUUCAUAUAAAAUUGUUUUUUACCUUCCUCGUCGAGUUCGUACGAGUAGUAGUAAUCGUCGUCAUGAUCCUUAAGUGUUCGAAAUUUAUUGAUAAGAAUAUCUACGUCAUGACUAUUCAUGUUUUCCUUGUCGUCUCGUCGGUAAUUUGAGAAAUCUCGCUGGGUAAAGGAACAGCUAGAGAAGCCCCUCGAUUGCAUAGCGACGUAUGUAUAUUGUUGGCUUGGAGGAAUGUUUGAUUCAUCUAAACUUCUUAUCAAAUUUCGGGCAUACGGUGUUAUUUCCCUAUUUAUCUUAAGGAACCUUUUAUUUGAUGGCGCCGACAUAUCAUGGUUGUGAUCAUCGUUGACGUUACAUAUCAUCCAUUGUUCUCCGAUUUUCUUGAUAGAAAGAAGAGCUUUGCAUCCUGUUCUUGAAUUUCUUAUGUGUCUAGGUUUCGUAGAUAUGUUGGCUGGAUUUUCUACUACUGGCACCUUUGCCUUUGAUGUACCCUCCUUUGAACAAACGUAUGUCUUCUUACGGAGACCCUUUUUCGAAUGUCUAGUUGAGCCUUUUCGCACGCAGAAUCCUUUCUGCCCCGCGAAUGCGUAGUAGGUAUGUUCCACCUCUUCUAGUGAGUCGAAUGUCAUACCGACCUUUGGAAGAUUGAUAAAUCUGGAAAAGUAUGCACUUAUCAAUGUUAUAGUAAUAUGGACUAGAUGUGAUGUGUGUACCAAAUAGUUAUGGUUUGGCGUAGGUUACCUGAUGCUAUCCACAUCUGUACUAUACAUAUCUUCCCUUCCAUAUUGAUCAUCCCUAUUAGUUGGACUGAAAAAUCAAUACCAUACAUCUUCAAAUGAUGUGGGACACCCAUUGGCCUUUCAAAAACAUAUAAUUUAGUAAUCCAUUUCUAACAUAACUUAAAUUACCUUCCUUCUGUCAGUAAAUACGUUUUGUUGUUAUGACUAUCACCUACUUGUAGUUCUUCUGAUUCUGUGAACAAAGUUUCUUUUAGGGGAACCUGACUAGUUAAUUGUUCAUUUGAAUAAAAUCACUUAGGAUUGAAUUUUAAAUACCUCUCCUUUGAAAUUCAUUAUUCAGGCCUAGUGACUGUUUAGCAAAAGAGGAUGAAGGUUAUUAGAACCUAUCCAUGUAAUUUCUAUUUUGUUAAAAAGUUCUCAUAAAAUGUUUAGCGUAGUAUCCUACUCCUAUAGAAUCUUAUAUAAACAAGAGGAAUAACCUAAUAUGAAUCGAUUUUUUUUUCUUUGCAUAUAGUAAACCUAGAAAAGCGUAAGCAUCUUACACUGUAGUUGUCGUUCGUGGGAGCUUCCUCAAUCAUCCUGCACAGAAAAAAUUCCAUUAAGUUCGAUAGUGUGAUUAAAUUAGAAUAACCAUUACUGAUAUUAGUAAUUAGAAUAACCAUUCAAUAUUCAUACAUAAGUGUUUUACUUAUACUGUGCAAUAAUCGAGACAGAAGCAUUGCUGAUCAGGAGAAACUCAACCGGGCAAUUCAAGAACGUAUAAUGAAUUAGGUACAUAAGGACCUAUGAUAGAUUAUUAUUUUUGUGCAAAUAAUAAUAAAACUACCGGCCGAUUAAACCUAAAGUCUGCUCUGGAUAACAGUGAGCAAAACCAGUGCAUCCCACAGAUAGAUACUAUGCAUACUAACUUUAGUGUGCUCUUAUGAAAUCUUAUGAUAUUUUCAAAAUAAUUGAUAUAAAUCUAAAAAUACUCAUGUGUAUGACGACUUAUUAAACAGAAUCACAUAUGUAUUAAUACGAUGCCUAAUCAAAAGAUAUGACAAUAUAAUUAAUCAAAAAUGAAUACAAUUCGAAAUGACAUCCUUCAUACUUGGGCAGUGAUAUUUUGUAUAACGAAAAUGUAAAACCGCCGGACAUGAGUGGGUGAUACCAGCGAAGGUUAUAGCCAGAUUAUGUGGAUACUAAUGAAGAGUGAUUUAUCAUGAAAACGAAUAGUAGUUGGGAAAGUACCUUAACUUGUCGAUGGCGAUGAUCCAAAUUUUUAGACAUAUUUAAGUAGAAGUCACCUGAAAAUUAAAUACCAAAUAAUAACUGGUAGUAAUUACCCUCUUUACUAAGUUAUAUUAAAUUUCAUCUAUAAAAAUUAUGGACACUUUUUUAGAAUUCAUUAGGUUUCGUUGUUAUGACUAUCACCUACUUGUAGUUCUUCAGAUUCUGUGAACAAAGUAUCUUUGAGGGGAACCUGACUAGUUCACUGAUGAUAUGAAGAAAAUCAUUCAAAAAUGAAUUGUAAAUAACUCUCCUUUAUUUAGGACUAGUGACUGUUUAGCAAAAAAGGAUGAAGGUUAUUAGAACCUAUCUAUGUAUUUUCUAGUUUGUUCAAAAGUUCCCAUAAAAUGUUGAGCGUAAUAUCCUAAUCCUAUAGAUUGUUAUAUAAAGUAGACGCAGUUCCUAAUAUGAAUCGAUGUUUUUUUUUUUGCAUAUAGUAAACCUAGCAAAUCGUAAGCAUCUUACACUAGUUGUCGUUCGUGGGAGCUUCCUCAUUCAUCCUGCACAGAAAAAAUGCCAUCGAGUCCAAUAGUGGGAUAAAAGUAUCUUGUUUUUACUACAGAUAUUAGUAUUUAGAGUAACGAUUCAAUAUUCAUACAUUAGUGUUUACUUAUACUGUGCAAUGAUCGAGAAAGUAACAUUAUUUAACAGGAAAAAUCAAAAUCGAUCAAUUCAAGAACUUGUGAUAAAUUAGGGGCCCAAUGACCUGUAAUAGAUUAUUAUUUUUGUGCUAAUCAUAAUAAUACUGAUGCCCGAUUAAACCUAAAGUCUAAUUUGGAUAGCAGUGAGCUAAACUAGUGCAUCCCACAGAUAGAUUCCAUGCAUACUAACUACUAAUGUGUUGGUAUGAUAUCCUCUGAUAUUUUCAAAAUAAUCGAUUUAAAUAAAAAACUACUAAUGUGUAUGACGAAUUAUUAUACAGAAUUACAUUUCUAUUCGUACAAUGCCUAAUCAGAAAAUAUGACCAUAAAAUUAAUCAAAAAUGAAUACAAUUCGAAAUGACAUCCAUCAUACUUGGUCAGGCAUAUUUUGUAAAUCUAACAUGUAAAACCUCUUGUGGCAAAAUGCUUUGAACAGCUAAUAUGAAAUUAGUUAAAGUAAAUAGAUCCAUGAUUAAUACUAAUACCUUAAGGUGGAAAGGGCAAUAGUAAUUAUAACAAAGUCCUUUGUUUGAUUAGUUAUACCGUAUCGAAUUUCUUUUAGUUUCGCAAAAGCUUUUUAGAAUUCAGGUAACUAAAAUCCGCGGAUCUUCUCAACCAUAGGGGCAUAGGAAGUGUGGGAAUGUAAUGUAGAAAAUAAGGAUUUGGGUAUUUUUGGGCAAUACCUAGCUCAAUACACCACUGGACAUGAGUGGGUCAUACCAGCAAAGGUUAUAGCCAGAUUAUGUGGAUACUAAUGAAAAGUCAUUUAUGAAGAAAACGAAUAAUAGUAAGGAAAUUACCUUAACUUGUCGAUGGCGAUGAUCCAAAUUCUACGUAAUAAUUAUGUAGAAGUCACCUAAAAAAUAAAUAUCCAUUAAUAAAUGUUUUUAAGUACUGUUAGAAAAUACAAUCUUUACUAAGUAAUAAUAUAAUUCGUCUAUAAAAAUUAUGAACACUUUUUUAGAAUUCAUUACGUUUGGUUGUUAUGACUAUCACCUACAUGUAGUUCUUCAUAUUCUGUGAACUAAGUUUCUUCUAGGGGAACUUGACUAGUUAAUUGUUCAUUUGAAUAAAAUCACUUAGGAUUGAAUUUUAAAUACCUCUCCUUUGAAAUUCAUUAUUCAGGCCUAGUGACUGUUUAGCAAAAGAGGAUGAAGGUUAUUAGAACCUAUCCAUGUAAUUUCUAUUUUGUUAAAAAGUUCUCAUAAAAUGUUUAGCGUAGUAUCCUACUCCUAUAGAUUCUUAUAUAAACAAGAGGAAUAACCUAAUAUGAAUCGAUUUUUUUUUCUUUGCAUAUAGUAAACCUAAAAAAGCGUAAGCAUCUUAUACUGUAGUUGUCGUUCGUGGGAGCUUCCUCAAUCAUCCUGCACAGAAAAAAUUCCAUUAAGUUCGAUAGUGUGAUAAAAUUAUAUUGUUUUUACUAUAGAUAUUAGUAAUUAGAAUAACCAUUCAAUAUUCAUACAUAAGUGUUUUACUUAUACUGUGCAAUAAUCGAGACAGAAGCAUUACUGAUCAGGAGAAACUCAACCAGGCAAUUCAAGAACGUAUGAUGAAUUAGGUACAUAAGGACCUAUGAUAGAUUAUUAUUUUUGUGCAAAUAAUAAUAAAACUACCGGCCGAUUAAACCUAAACUCUGCUCUGGAUAACAGUGAGCAAAACCAGUACAUCCCACAGAUAGAUUCUAUGCAUACUAACUUUAGUGUGCUCUUAUGAAAUCUUAUGAUAUUUUCAAAAUAAUCGAUAGAAAUCUAAAAAUACUCAUGUGUAUGACGACUUAUUAAACAGAAUCACAUAUGUAUUCAUACGAUGCCUAAUCGGAAAAUAUGACAAUAUAAUUAAUCAAAAAUGAAGAUAAUUCGAAAUGACAUCCUUCAUACUUGGUCAGUGAUAUUUUGUAUAACGAAAAUGUAAAACCGCCGGACAUGAGUGGGUGAUACCAGCGAAGGUUAUAGCCAGAUUAUGUGGAUACUAAUGAAGAGUCAUUUAUCAUGAAAAGUAAUAGUAGUUGGGAAAGUAC
rnacentral:lncRNA from 1 species